UAAAAGUGAGCUUUACACGUGUUGAGAGUAGCUUAAUGCGGUCUCCCCUUCACGCAGAGCUUCAUUUGGACAAUCCCAUCUGAUGAAGUUGAAAAGCCGAAUCAACCUGUUCCACACCAGAGCCUCUGAGAUCUCCUCUCCAACAUGAUCAAGACAAUCUGCCUCUCUCUAGAUGCUCGCUCGUGAUGUCUCCAUUGAGUAAAUCGCGGGGAAUGUCAGAGCAGGAGAUUCCAUCAAAACCCGAAGAUCUGCUCAGAUGGUAGAGCACCCGCGCCUCAGUGGACGCUUAUUGCGAAUUUAACUGAAAUGCAGUCUCUCAUAUCACCAGUGACUAAGGCUAUCCUUGUAGCGCUGUUUAUUUUUGCCAUUUUGCUGAUCCUGUAUGUAAUACUGUGGUAUAUAUGCAGAGACGUGGACUGUGAUCACGGCAUCUGAAGCAUUGAUCUGUGGAGAAGUCAGGGUGACCUCGGUUUUCCCAGUCAAAAUGUCAAAGUUGCACCGGUGACUAGUGGCGCCAGACAUGAGACGGUCAGACGGUUGACGAACAGUUCCUGAAGUCAGAACUUCCUGUUGACCCGCCUGGUGCAUUCUGGGAAGGAUUGUGGUUCUCGUCCUGGACCUGCACGGCAUACUCACAUGGAAGAAGCCGUCGCUGUUGAGAAACAUCUGAGAUCUUCUGAGAAACACUUGAGAUGAUCUGAGAUCUUCUGAGAAACACCUGAGAUCUUCUGAGAAACACUUGAGAUGAUCUGAGAUCUUCUGAAACACCUGAGAUCUUCUGAGAAACACUUGAGAUGAUCUGAGAUCUUCUGAGAAACACCUGAGAUCUUCUAAGAUCUUCUGAGAAACACCUGAGAUCUUCUGAGAAACACCUGAGAUUUUCUAAGAUCUUCUGAGAAACACCUGAGAUCUUCUGAGAAACACCUGAGAUCUUCUGAAAAACACUUGAUGAUCUGAGAUCUUCUGAGAAACACUUGAUAUGAUCUGAGAUCUUCUGAGAAACACCUGAGAUCUUCUAAGAUCUUCUGAGAAACACAUGAGAUCUUCUGAGAAACACAUGAGAUGAUCUGAGAUCUUCUGAGAAACACCUGAGAUCUUCUGAAAAAACACCUGAGAUCUUCUGAGAAACACCUGAGAUCUUCUAAGAUCUUCUGAGAAACACAUGAGAUCUUCUGAGAAACACAUGAGAUGAUCUGAGAUCUUCUGAGAAACACCUGAGAUCUUCUGAAAAACACCUGAGAUCUUCUGAGAAACACCUGAGAUUUUCAAAGAAACACUUGAGAUGAUCUGAGAUCUUCUGAGAAACACUUCAGAUGAUCUGAGAUCUUCUGAGAAACACCUGAGUUCUUCUCCUCCUCAGGACUCGCUGUCUCUGUGACGCACAAUGCAGUCGCUUCACUUUUAUAAACCGGUUGAACUGAAGGUGGAAGUUGCUCAGAUGCAAACGAACCAUUCUUUAUUACACGAGUCGGUCGAUUCCUUCCCAGUGUUGGCAAUCUCACGGCGGAGAACUGUGCCUGAGGAUCUAUGAAGAGUCAGACGAUCAUGAGUGUGUGUUGUUCUUCUGAAGGGCUCGUCUGUGAUCGUCUUUCCCGCACUGCGAGUGUGUGAGUGUGUUUCUGUCAUGAUGUGAUGAUGUAAUGAAUCUGGAGAGUCUUUCACUCUUAAAACGAAUGGUUCAGUGGUUCUUGACUCAGUGUCUUAAAUCCAUAAUACGGUAACGCUUUAUUUAACGUCCCCUAUAGUGAAAAUCCAGCGUUUAAUGUUGUUUAUGUGUGUAUGUGGUGUUUUUAAUCCACUUUAACACAC